AUGUGGGCAACAGGGGAUAGCAAGCUGAAGUACAAGUUUUUCGGUGAUUUUGUGACAUUCGACACCACAUAUCGGACGAACUUGUGCAACAUGCCAUUUGGACUGUUUGUAGGGGUUAAGAACCAUUUCCAGAGCAUAUUGCUGGCGGGGGUGCUGAUCAGAGAUGAGCAGGUGGAAAGCUUUGAGUGGGUAUUCACGGAGUUUGUGAGGAUGAUGGGCGGUGUGGCCCCAAGAACAAUACUGAUAGACCAGUGCGGAGUGAUGGAGAUAGCCAUCAAGAAGACCCUUCUGGAUACGGUCCAUCGUUGGUGCAAAUUGCAUGUCGUGAAGAAAGCAAAAGAAAGUCUGGGAGCGCUAUAUGGCAAGAGGAAUGAAUUCAGGCAGGAUUUGCAGGGUGGUGUUGUAGUACGAACCAACUCAUCUAUUGAACUGGAUGCAAGCAAGAUGUACGCUAGGUCCAUGCUUGAGCAAUUUCAGCUGAUUCUUUACGAGGCUGGUAGGUACCGAGUGCAGGAAUUAGAAAAAGAUGCAUUGUACAAAGAGACACACACUAGGCCUGAUAAACGGGAGAAAUGGAGCAGAGUUGUUUUCCUGGUGAGAAUGCAUGACAAUGGUGAACACUUUGAGUGCGAGUGUGGGCUGUCUGAACACAUGCCCAUGUACUGA
rnacentral:rRNA from 1 species